rnacentral:rRNA from 1 species
AGAGUUUGAUCCUGGCUCAGAACGUACGCUGGCGGCACGCUUAACACAUGCAAGUCGAACGAAGUAGCAAUACUUAGUGGCAGACGGGUGAGUAUAAUGUGGGAAUCUGCCUUUUGGUUUAGAAUAACUCGGGGAAACUUGAGCUAAUACUGGAUAAGCCCUUACGGGGAAAGCUUUAUGCGCCAAGAGAUGAGCCCGCACUUGAUUAGCUUGUUGGUGAGGUAAAAGCUCACCAAGGCAACGAUCAAUAGCUGUUCUUAGAGGAAGACCAGCCACAUUGGGACUGAGACACGGCCCAGACUCCUACGGGAGGCAGCAGUGGGGAAUCUUGCACAAUGGGGGAAACCCUGAUGCAGCGAUGCCGCGUGAGUGAAGAAGGCCUUUGGGUUGUAAAGCUCUUUCGUCGGGGAAGAAAAUGACUGUACCCGAAUAAGAAGGUCCGGCUAACUUCGUGCCAGCAGCCGCGGUAAUACGAAGGGACCUAGCGUAGUUCGGAAUUACUGGGCUUAAAGAGCUCGUAGGUGGUUAAGAAAGUUGGUGGUGAAAUCCCAAGGCUUAACCUUGGAACUGCCACCAAAACUUUUUGACUAGAGUAUGAUAGAGGUAAGUGG